rnacentral:rRNA from 1 species
GAAAGGCCUGCCGCUGUGCUCGCGUGAGUACUCGAGUCGCGCGAACGGGUGAGUAACACGUGGGUGAUCUGCCUUGCACUUCGGGAUAAGCUUGGGAAACUGGGUCUAAUACCGGAUAGGACAGCUGUUUAGUGUCAGUUGUGGAAAGUUUUUUCGGUGCAAGAUGAGCUCGCGGCCUAUCAGCUUGUUGGUGGGGUAAUGGCCUACCAAGGCGUCGACGGGUAGCCGGCCUGAGAGGGUGUACGGCCACAUUGGGACUGAGAUACGGCCCAGACUCCUACGGGAGGCAGCAGUGGGGAAUAUUGCACAAUGGGCGGAAGCCUGAUGCAGCGACGCCGCGUGGGGGAUGAAGGCCUUCGGGUUGUAAACUCCUUUCGACAGGGACGAAGCGUAAGUGACGGUACCUGUAUAAGAAGCACCGGCUAACUACGUGCCAGCAGCCGCGGUAAUACGUAGGGUGCGAGCGUUGUCCGGAAUUACUGGGCGUAAAGAGCUCGUAGGUGGUUUGUCGCGUCGUCUGUGAAAUUCCGGGGCUUAACUCCGGGCGUGCAGGCGAUACGGGCUGACUUGAGUGCUGUAGGGGAGACUGGAAUUCCUGGUGUAGCGGUGAAAUGCGCAGAUAUCAGGAGGAACACCGAUGGCGAAGGCAGGUCUCUGGGCAGUAACUGACGCUGAGGAGCGAAAGCAUGGGUAGCGAACAGGAUUAGAUACCCUGGUAGUCCAUGCCGUAAACGGUGGGCGCUAGGUGUAGGGGGCUUCCACGUCUUCUGUGCCGUAGCUAACGCAUUAAGCGCCCCGCCUGGGGAGUACGGCCGCAAGGCUAGAACUCAAAGGAAUUGACGGGGGCCCGCACAAGCGGCGGAGCAUGUGGAUUAAUUCGAUGCAACGCGAAGAACCUUACCUGGGCUUGACAUAUACAAGACAGGCGUAGAGAUACGUCCUCCCUUGUGGGUUGUAUACAGGUGGUGCAUGGUUGUCGUCAGCUCCGGUCGUGAGAUGUUGGGUAAAUCCCCCCAACGAGCGCCACCCUUGUCUUAUGUUGCCAGCAUUUGGGUUGGGAACUCAUGAAAAACUGCCCGGGCCCACUCGCCAGAAAAGUGAGGGAUGACGUCAAAUACAUCAUGCCCCUUAUGGCCAGGGCUUCCCACUUGGUAACAAUGGUCGGUAAAACGCGGAG